GGGAGACCACUUGUCUGUGUACACUCUUAAAGAACUUCCAUACACAAACCAAGUAAUUUCUGAGACGAUGCGAAUGUAUCCGCCAAUAAUAACACAAUCACGGUGUGCAGAGGAAGACCAUCGGUGCGGCAAGUACCUCAUCAAAAAAGGAACGUCCGUGGUUGUCCCCACAUACCAUCUCCACCAUGAUCCAAGACACUGGAUGAACCAGAAAAAUUUAAGCCAGAGAGGUUUAGCCCCGAAAACAAGCAUCUGAUCAACUCAACCGCCUACCAUCCAUUCGGACUGGGGCCACGCAUGUGCGUCUCACGUCUGGCUCUUCUCGAGCUUGCCUCGGUUACUGCUCAAGUGCUUCGUCAAUUCAAGAUCACCUUGGUCCCGAGACAGAACCCUGACCUUGAGCUGACAACGUACUCGUUUUUAGCCGUGCCUAAAGAGAACGUGAAGAUCUACGUGGAGAGACUUUGCCAGGACAAGUGAAUUUGCCACCGCCUUUCCAUUCUCGCAGCGAAAUGGGGAAUUCUGCAGCCGCAGAAAUAGCAACCAGUAUCCUUCAUUCUCCGGCCUACCACGAGAAAGCAUAAUUGGGUUUUACCUCGCGCACUUCAGGUUUGAAAACGUUGAAUACGAAGCUGUCUUACUAGCGGGCCUCUGUGUAAAGCAAAAUAAAUAAAAAUAACAAUAAAAUU